AUGGGAGGGUGAGCCUAGGUCUACCUAGGGGCUUACACAUAUACCUAUAUAUGAGUUUGGGAAAGUUGACCGGGGUGUCCUGAAGAAUGUAAGACAUAAUAGCUAGGUCCCUCUCAUUUACAAAAUCAAAUCUUCCUGUCUUAGGGAAGACAGACCUGGACAGAAUACUCAAAAGGAUUCUCACUUCAACAGGAAGUGAGCUAGCAGAUACCUCGUCUAGGGGGGACUGAGGUGGAUGCCCUAAGACGACCGUAAGGGCCUCAACUCUAUCCUCAGGGUGUGCGGGAGCCACCCCUACUAGUGGAAGGUGGAGGAUGUGGCCAAUAAGAUCCUCCGUGACAAACACAGGGACACCGGCUACUGUGCCCUCGAUACCCCCAUCUCCCCGAUGGACGGUACCGUAAAACUCUCUAACGAGCCCUGGAUAUGUGGGGAGGUCCAAUGUAAGGAAGAACUCUAAGCCCUGGGCUCUAAGCCUAUCACCUAUGGUGAAUCCUUCCCGGGAGAGGAAGUCGAAAUCGACAUACCUCCCGGUGGAGACGACCUUCCCGGCCAAUGGCCUCGCGGGAACCGCCCUAGGCGGGGAACGAGCCGGAGGUGGUUGCCUCGCGGGAUCGUGCCGCGCCUUGGAGCGCCGCUCGGGACCGGCCUCGGGAC
rnacentral:lncRNA from 1 species